rnacentral:rRNA from 1 species
AUGGAGACGGCCCGGGCCCCAGCCGCCCCCGCGACGUCCAGGCCGCGCACCGUGGAGGCCAUCUUCAGGGACUUCAACGCGCGCCGCGCCGGCCUCGUCCGCGCGCUCACCUCCGAUGUCGACGACUUCUUCGACAGCUGCGACCCAGAUAAGGAGAACCUCUGCCUCUACGGCCACCCCGACGGGACCUGGGAGGUGUCACUGCCGGCGGAGGAGGUGCCCCCCGAGCUGCCUGAGCCGGCCCUCGGCAUCAAUUUCGCCCGCAACGGCAUGAACCGCCGCGACUGGCUCUCCCUCGUCACCGUCCACUCCGACUCGUGGCUCCUCUCCGUCGCCUUCUUCUUAUCUCCGUGGCCUGCUCCUGUUGUAGUAUAUUUCAGAUGCAUAGAUAGAUUCUUCGAUGCUUCCUAG